UCAUCUUGAUAAAACCCCAUAAAACAAAUAUGUUUUCUCUCCUAUUAAUUUUGUUGCCAUGUCAUUAAUUUGUUUCACUGAGGUGACACGAAUGAAACCACUAUUGAGACCGGCCUAUAAGGGCAUGCUCAACGCGACGACAUGUCGAGUGGCUUGGACUCUCCACAUACGUGGUGCAGCUCUAGCUCGGCUUAGCCGACCGCUCUGCAAAGCUUCUCACGGCUUAUAGAGGAUACCACAGCCCCAGCCGUUCGACAUAGCUUCCUGUCUACUAGCGUUUAAGUUCCGACGUGUUUUCUACUAGCAUUGUGAGCUUUAUAUCUUCGG
rnacentral:lncRNA from 1 species